GAGUUUGAUCUUGGCUCAGAUUGAACGCUGGCGGCAUGCCUUACACAUGCAAGUCGAACGGCAGCACGGGAGCUUGCUCCUGGUGGCGAGUGGCGAACGGGUGAGUAAUGCAUCGGAACGUAUCCUGGAGUGGGGGAUAACGUAGCGAAAGUUACGCUAAUACCGCAUAUUCUGUGAGCAGGAAAGCGGGGGACCUUCGGGCCUCGCGCCCUUGGAGCGGCCGAUGUCGGAUUAGCUAGUUGGUGAGGUAAAGGCUCACCAAGGCGACGAUCCGUAGCAGGUCUGAGAGGAUGAUCUGCCACACUGGAACUGAGACACGGUCCAGACUCCUACGGGAGGCAGCAGUGGGGAAUUUUGGACAAUGGGGGCAACCCUGAUCCAGCCAUGCCGCGUGAGUGAAGAAGGCCUCGGUUGUAAG
rnacentral:rRNA from 1 species